rnacentral:rRNA from 1 species
GCUAGUCUUUGUAGUAAUACAAGGCAUACGGCUCAGUAACGCGUAGUCAACCUACCCUAUGGACGGGGAUAAUCUCGGGAAACUGAGCAUAAUACCCGGCAGACCACUUAUCCUGGAAUGGUUAGUGGUUAAAAUGAUUCGUCGCCAUAGGAUGGGACUGCGGCCUAUCAGCUUGUUGGUGAGGUAAUGGCCCACCAAGGCGAUUACAGGUACGGGCUCUGAGAGGAGAGGCCCGGAGAUGGGUACUGAGACAAGGACCCAGGCCCUAUGGGGCGCAGCAGGCGAGAAAACUUUGCAAUGUGCGAAAGCACGACAAGGUUAAUCCGAGUGAUUUCUGCUAGAGGAAUCUUUUGUUAGUUCUAAAAAUACUAGUGAAUAAGGGGUGGGCAAGUUCUGGUGUCAGCAGCCGCGGUAAAACCAGCACCUCAAGUGGUCAGGAGGAUUAUUGGGCCUAAAGCAUCCGUAGCCUGUUCUAUAAGUUUGCGGCUAAAUCUAUACGCUUAACGUAUAGGCUGCCGUAAAUACUGUACAACUAGGGAGUGGGAGAGGUAGACGGUACUCGAUAGGAAGGGGUAAAAUCCUUUGAUCUAUUGAUGACCACCUGUGGCGAAGGUGGUCUACCAGGACACGUCCGACGGUGAGGGAUGAAAGCUGGGGGAGCAAACCGGAUUAUAUACCCGGGUAGCCCCAGCUGUAAACGAUGCAAACUCGAUGAUG